rnacentral:rRNA from 1 species
AGUGAACGCUGGCGGUAGGCCUAACACAUGCAAGUCGAACGGCAGCACAGUAAGAGCUUGCUCUUACGGGUGGCGAGUGGCGGACGGGUGAGGAAAAUAUCGGAAUCUACUUUUUCGUGGGGGAUAACGUAGGGAAACUUACGCUAAUACCGCAUACGACCUACGGGUGAAAGCAGGGGAUCUUCGGACCUUGCGCGAUUGAAUGAGCCGAUGUCGGAUUAGCUAGUUGGCGGGGUAAAGGCCCACCAAGGCGACGAUCCGUAGCUGGUCUGAGAGGAUGAUCAGCCACACUGGAACUGAGACACGGUCCAGACUCCUAAGGGAGGCAGCAGUGGGGAAUAUUGGACAAUGGGCGCAAGCCUGAUCCAGCCAUACCGCGUGGGUGAAGAAGGCCUUCGGGUUGUAAAGCCCUUUUGUUGGGAAAGAAAAGCAGCAGGUUAAUACCCCGCUGUUCUGACGGUACCCAAAGAAUAAGCACCGGCUAACUUCGUG